UACGUAGGGUGCAAUCGUUAAUCGGAAUUACUGGGCGUAAAGCGUGCGCAGGCGGUUUUGUAAGUCUGACGUGAAAUCCCCGGGCUCAACCUGGGAAUUGCGUUGGAGACUGCAAGGCUGGAGUCUGGCAGAGGGGGGUAGAAUUCCACGUGUAGCAGUGAAAUGCGUAGAGAUGUGGAGGAACACCGAUGGCGAAGGCAGCCCCCUGGGUCAAGACUGACGCUCAUGCACGAAAGCGUGGGGAGCAAACAGG
rnacentral:rRNA from 1 species